GUGCUCACCUCGGCAGCAUAUAUACUAAAAUUGGAACGAUACAGAGAAGAUUAGCAUGGCCCCUACGCAAGAAUGGCACGCACAUUCGUGAAGUGUUCCAUGAAAAA